AGACCCCUGCACAGUGUGACUUCUAAACACCCAGGACACCGAGACGCCCAGGACUUGCACUAGUGCCAUCAGGACAGCAACCGACGGGCAGCAGCCAUGACCCACGCUUCCCAACACUACCUGGAGUACACGCCUGGCCCACAGGGCUGGUCCAUGGCGGGGAGCGAGCCCUGGAAGGUUCGAGCCUCAGGACAUCAGACGAAGUCUGCUCCACCAGGAAAGCCACAUGGAGCUCGGCUGGACUCAGGCUCAGCAGGGAGGCGGCUCAGGCAGGAGAACAUCGAGGCAGGGCAGCUGGAGGCCGGAGAGGAGAAGGGCAGGCCCUGAUGGCAGGUGAGGGUGGCAUGCACCCACCAGGCUGGUCUCCUCACCCGCUGAGGGCCUCUCUUCCCCAGGUCCCAUGUGGGCCUCCACGUCCUGCGCCUGUCAACUGGGUGGGUCCCUGGACAGACUCCAGGGAGAGUGCCAGCCUCGGGGUUUUUCCUCCCCAGGUUCCAGGACUCCUGCAAACCCACUCUGCUCAGUUCUGACAGGUGCAGGAAGAGCCAUGCUCAGAGGCUCCACUAGAGACCCCUCUAAGGCAUAGCAGAUGCCAACAACAGCAAUCCCAGGGCCCCUGCCAAGAAGCAGAGCCAAGUGAGCAAGCCUGGGGGCUUUGGAGGUCCAGCCAAGACCCUCUAGGGCCAGAAAAGUCAGGCAUCAUGGUUGAGGCCACACAGUGGAUGGGACCAGGGCCCCCUCCCCACCCUUGGGCCCCCUUCAGGGCCAGAUACCCUAGGAAGCACAGCUGCCUGUGCAGAAGGCCAGACCCGGGUGGAGUUGGGCACAGGAGAGGCAGAAGCCCCGGCGGUGUGCAGUGAGGCAUCCCCGGCACAGCCCCACGGCUCCAGGUGAACCCACGUGGAGGAGGAGCCUGGGAGCACUCAGGAGCAGCUGGGCAGGGAACACAAGGGAAGCAUCUCCUGGGCAGAAGCAGGGUGGUCAGGACAAAGGAAGCACCUGGCCUGUGGUCCAGACAGUGUCCCCUCCUCUCCACAUCUGGAGAGAUGCGAGUGGGCAGAACAGAGGCUCUGGGGCUGCCUGGUCCACCUUCCCCAUCCCCUGUCAGGCACCUGUGGGUGAGCCCACCGACCAGGCCAGCGCAGCUGACACCCAACUGCGGCCAGAGACCCAUUAUCUGCCAUCAAGAAUGUGCCCUUGACUAUUUUCUUGUGUUUUCUUUAUUGCUGCAGUUUUUAGUAAAGUUCCUUUCUGGACGUUUUAGUCCAGCUCAGCAGUGCUAAAAGAGGAAAGGAAGGGGCGUUGGGCUCUCUCUGGGUGGACAACACUGGGCAGAGCUGCUCCUGGGCCCCACCCUCCCUGCCCCCACUCCCUGCGAGCCCCUCCCCCUCACAUGGGGGUGUGUUUUGUUUCUCUGUGUUUUAGCAUAUUUUUCAUCUUGCUCCUGAUCACACUGAUGGCUAGGAAAGCAUGUGGCUUGAUAAGCAAAAUUCUUCUGCAGAGAAAUUCCAGAGCCCCCAGCCGGGCAGC
rnacentral:lncRNA from 13 species